AGAGUUUGAUCAUGGCUCAGAUUGAACGCUGGCGGCAUGCCUUACACAUGCAAGUCGAACGGUAACGCGGGGGCAACCCUGGCGACGAGUGGCGAACGGGUGAGUAAUACAUCGGAACAUAUCCAGUAGCGGGGGAUAACCUAUCGAAAGAUGGACUAAUACCGCAUACGAUCUACGGAUGAAAGCAGGGGACCGCAAGGCCUUGCACUAUUGGAGUGGCCGAUGUCGGAUUAGCUAGUUGGUGGGGUAAAAGCUUACCAAGGCGACGAUCCGUAGCUGGUCUGAGAGGACGAUCAGCCACACUGGAACUGAGACACGGUCCAGACUCCUACGGGAGGCAGCAGUGGGGAAUUUUGGACAAUGGGCGCAAGCCUGAUCCAGCCAUGCCGCGUGAGUGAAGAAGGCCUUCGGGUUGUAAAGCUCUUUCGGUGAAGACGAAACGGUUCAUGCUAAUAACGUGAACUAAUGACGGUACUCACAGAAGAAGCACCGGCUAACUACGUGCCAGCAGCCGCGGUAAUACGUAGGGUGCAGGCGUUAAUCGGAAUUACUGGGCGUAAAGCGUGCGCAGGCGGUUUGCUAAGACAGGUGUGAAAUCCCCGGGCUUAACCUGGGAAUUGCGCUUGUAACUGGCAAGCUAGAGUGUGGCAGAGGGGGGUGGAAUUCCACGUGUAGCAGUGAAAUGCGUAGAUAUGUGGAGGAACACCGAUGGCGAAGGCAGCCCCCUGGGUUAACACUGACGCUCAUGCACGAAAGCGUGGGGAGCAAACAGGAUUAGAUACCCUGGUAGUCCACGCCCUAAACUAUGUCAACUAGUUGUCGGGGAAGAAAUUCCUUGGUAACGAAGCUAACGCGUGAAGUUGACCGCCUGGGGAGUACGGCCGCAAGGUUAAAACUCAAAGGAAUUGACGGGGACCCGCACAAGCGGUGGAUUAUGUGGAUUAAUUCGAUGCAACGCGAAAAACCUUACCUACCCUUGACAUGCUAGGAAGCCCGCAGAGAUGUGGGUGUGCCCGAAAGGGAACCUAGACACAGGUGCUGCAUGGCUGUCGUCAGCUCGUGUCGUGAGAUGUUGGGUUAAGUCCCGCAACGAGCGCAACCCUUGCCAUUAGUUGCUACAUUCAGUUGGGCACUCUAAUGGGACCGCCGGUGACAAACCGGAGGAAGGUGGGAUGACGUCAAGUCCUCAUGGCCCUUAUGGGUAGGGCUUCACACGUAAUACAAUGGUCGGUACAGAGGGCUGCCAACCCGCAAGGGGGAGCUAAUCCCAGAAGGCCGAUCGUAGUCCGGAUUGUAGUCUGCAACUCGACUGCAUGAAGCCGGAAUCGCUAGUAAUCGCGGAUCUGCAUGUCGCGGUGAAUACGUUCCCGGGUCUUGUACACACCGCCCGUCACACCAUGGGAGUGGGUUCCACCAGAAGUAGUUAGCCUAACCGCAAGGAGGGCGAUUACCACGGUGAGAUUCAUGACUGGGGUGAAGUCGUAACAAGGUA
rnacentral:rRNA from 1 species